ACCCAGACGCUGUCAGAGUGUGUGUUCCUCAAUUCAUCAUGAUUUUUCCCAGUUUGGGUCAUCACUGUCUUGUGUAGGACAAAGAAAAGAAACUUUUGAAGAAAGGAAUUUAUCUUUCCAUCUAGACCAUAGUUUCUUACCAAGAUAAACACCAGUGAUGACACCAUGAGAAGAGUGGUCUCCCCUGUGUCACAGAAUCACAGGUGUUGGAAGGGACCUCAAGAGAUCAACUGCAUCUACAAUUCUUUUGUGUUGAGAAUGAAAAGAGAAAAACAAUUAACCAUGCAACUAUGUACUAUUGUAUAGUAUCUUACUAAAUUUGCUAAGCAAAUUCUCCACUGAGAUUUUUACUUGAGGAAAAAAAAUGCAAAACUCAGCCCUCAGCAAUGACACUUCCUACUAAAAUGAGGUGUUGGAAUCAACAGAUGAUCUUCUGAACAACACUAACAGCUUGGCAUGUCUUGGCAGUUCCAGGAAACUCUUAAGUUUAUGAAUCUGAAUGCAGAGCUUGAUGUAUUUGUUUUUCAUAAGAAGUAUCUGUCCCAAGGGAUGGUGUUUCUAUUUCAGCAUUUUACCUUCAGCUGUCUGCUUGUCCUUUGAUAGGUAGAUGUAUUUCCCAAGUAAAUGAAUCUGUACUUACCUUAGAAAAAUAUACAAAGACAAAAAAAGUUAUGCUUACUUCUACCAGAUCUGAAAGAUCAGACCCUACUGUUUGAAGACUUUAAAACACUAAACUGGAAUGUAUUUUUAUUUUUAGUUGAAUGUGACCUUUCAAAGUACCAGUUAUUUCUCUAGAUAGCUUCAAAACGUGACAUCUCUAUUGUGUAAGAACUCUUCGAUAAUCCACAGUCUCAACUGGUCUACUUCAGAAAGAGAAAGGGCAGACUAAAGUAUGAUUCUCGUGAAAUGUCAGAUAAAAAAUCAGAAUAAAUGUUUGUGUCAAAUUAUUUUAAUAGUUUAUGGAAUACACUUUAAUAGUAUUAAAUUGUGCUAAGCCAUGUGUGUCUGAAUAUGUUCUAAAAACUGAAAUACAAACUACCUGAUUAUGAGGAGAGCAUGAUUACUUUUUAAACAGUUCAACAUGAUAUAGGCAAAGCUGAGUUCUUGUUUGUCUAAACUCAUAUUUUCUAAGUUCAGUAUUUAAUAAAGACGAAGAUCUGAGCAAUUAUUUCUUGUGCAGAAAUAAACAGAUAGCU